GAUGAACGCUGGCGGCGUGCCUAAUACAUGCAAGUCGAGCGAACAGACGAGGAGCUUGCUCCUCUGACGUUAGCGGCGGACGGGUGAGUAACACGUGGAUAACCUACCUAUAAGACUGGGAUAACUUCGGGAAACCGGAGCUAAUACCGGAUAAUAUAUUGAACCGCAUGGUUCAAUAGUGAAAGACGGUUUUGCUGUCACUUAUAGAUGGAUCCGCGCCGCAUUAGCUAGUUGGUAAGGUAACGGCUUAUCAAGGCAACGAUGCGUAGCCGACCUGAGAGGGUGAUCGGCCACACUGGAACUGAGACACGGUCCAGACUCCUACGGGAGGCAGCAGUAGGGAAUCUUCCGCAAUGGGCGAAAGCCUGACGGAGCAACGCCGCGUGAGUGAUGAAGGUCUUCGGAUCGUAAAACUCUGUUAUUAGGGAAGAACAAAUGUGUAAGUAACUAUGCACGUCUUGACGGUACCUAAUCAGAAAGCCGCGGCUAACUACGUG
rnacentral:rRNA from 1 species